UUAAGAUUUCAAAAAUUACUCUCUUUACUAGAAUUUGUAUUUACCGUCUCAUAACUACGUAACAAAUAUUUUAAUAACUAUCUCAAAUUAAUAUAAAUUUAUACAUCAUAUUUAUUCAAAAAUUUAUAAUAUAAAAUUUAAAUUUUAAAAAGUAAAUUCAUUUAUUAUAUACUAUUAGAAAAAUAUCUGUCAUAUUCUAACUCAAAUUUAAAUAAUUGUUGUCGAUAAAUUUAUAUAUAGUGUAGAUAUAUAGAUAUAUGUUGAAUAUUUUUCUAUACUUCUUAAUUCUGAUAAAUCCAAAAUUUAAAUAUAUUUUAAACUAAAAGAAUUAAAAUUAAAAAACUAAUAUAAUAAUAAAAUAUUAGUAGAUAGAAUAGAGAUAAUAUAUAAAUAUUUAUCUUAAAAAAUAUUGAAUGAUAAAAAUAUUUAAUAAACAAGUAAAAUAUUAAUAGUUGGAGAAAAAAGAAGAACUAAAAGUUUGUUUUGUUAUGCAUAAGAAAAAAUAUUAAUAUAAAAUAUUUAAUACUUAAAAAUAUUAAUAUAAUAAUAAAAUAUUGAAUGAUAAAAAUAUUUAAUAAAAAUAAAAUAUUAAUUUUUGGAGGAAAAAAGAGAAAUUAAAAAUUUAUUUCGUUACGUUAUUUAGCGAAAUUUAAAAUAUAUAUUUUUUAUACAUAGAUAGUAUAGCAGUAUAGAUAUAUCCACUAUAGUUUGUCACCUACGUGCCACAUUAUUAGUGGCUCGUACAACAUCUAAACAGGUACGACUUUUACCCGUAUUUCCAGGUCUUUUUUUUUCCGUUAUUUAUUUGUUUAUAUAAUUUAUUUAUUUUUUUUUCCCUUCUCCUCAUUCGCUUCGUUUCUCUCUCUCUCCUCGCUCUCUCUCUCUCUCUCUCCUCGCCCCCUCGCCGUGGAAUCGAUGUCCUUCGCCGCCCCUUACGGCGGCGGCGACGCCUCCGCCGCCGCGCGGAAGCGCUUCUUUUGCCACCAAUGCAACCGCACCGUCCUCAUCGGCCCCUCGUCGUCGUCCUCCUCCGCCGCCGAGGGGUUCGACCUCUCGUGCCCCCACUGCGGCGGUGGCUUCAUCGAGGAGCUCAACGUCCCAAACCCUAGCCCCGAUCCCAUCCCCAGCCUCUUCUCCGACGACUCCUUUGGCCCCUACCAAUCCCCUCUCCCCUUCCUCCUCUCCGCCCUCCUCGACCUCCGCGGCCCCGGCGGCGGCGGCGGUGGCGGCGGAGGCGGCGGGGGAUUCUCCGGCGACCCCGCCACCCCCGAUCGCUCCGCCGCUCCCUCCCCCGAUCCCGAACCCUUCGACCCCGUCCACUUCCUGCAGAACUACCUCCAAACCCUAAUGGACGGCGGCGCCAACAUCCAGGUCGUCCUCGACGGCGGCGACGGUGGCGGCGGCGGCGGAGGGCUCCGCCUCGGCGGCAACUUCGGCGACUACUUCAUCGGCCCGGGGCUCGAGCAGCUGAUCGAGCAGUUGGCGGAGAACGAUCCGAACCGCUACGGUACUCCUCCCGCGGCCAAAUCCGCGGUCGAUUCCCUCCCCGAUGUGAAGAUCUCGGAGGAGGUCAUGGCGACCGACGAUGCGCAGUGCGCCGUGUGCAAGGACGCCUUCGAGGUCGGGGAGGAGGCGAAGGAGAUGCCCUGCAAACACAUCUACCACAAGGAUUGCAUAAUUCCAUGGCUGGAGCUCCAUAAUUCUUGUCCCGUGUGCCGCUACGAGCUCCCGACGGACGAUCAGGAGUAUGAGAACCGGAAAAAGGCGCCCGCCGGAGGAGGAGCAGGGAGUUCAUCUAGGGUUUCUUCAAGAGGUGGUGGUCAUCGUUCUGGCGAUGACCGUGACCCUGCCAGUGAUGGAGAGGGAGAUUCUUCUGGGGCUGUGACGAGUCCCUCGGGGAGGAGGUUCAAUAUCUCAUUGCCUUGGCCAUUCAACAGUUUUGGAUCGCAGUUUGAGGAUAGAGAUGCUGGGAAUUCUGGUGGUCAAAGUGAUGAGCAUGAGGGGAGGACUUGACCUGAGGAUGGAUUGAGGUAGUGGUCUUCGAAGAUCAUUUCUCCAUUCUUCGUUUUUAUUUUUUUCCUAAGUUAGUCCGCAAUUUAAAUAUCAAUUACUUCUUAUCUUCUUCGUCAAUGGCGUGCUGUGUGGUGAUUUAUAAUCUGAAAUUGUCCGCAAACACCGACAUGUAGAUAGUUACAACAAUUUGGAACUUAGGUCAAUAAGCUCUCAAGAGGGUGGUGCACUAUCCUACAUGAGAGUAGUGUUGAUUUCAAGAGUAUGGAUGAAGAUUUUUAUUUAGAUUUCGUAAUGCGUGUGAUUAGUUGCAUUUAGUUGUAACUAAUAAAACUGCAAGAUGUAAGUUCCAAGGGAUUCAAUUUUGACAUCUAUCCUGCGACAGACAGAUAUUGGUUAAGGUUUAAUCCUCUACUAGGAAAAUAUGACACAUGAAAACCUAGAUUCCGUGCCUGUCUAGCUCUCCAGACAUUCAAAUUCCUCUGCAACUGAAAAUCUUUAUUGCACCCUCAUUGUAGUUUGUGUUGCUAAGGUAAGAUUGGAUCGAGCUACUGAAGAGUUUUCUUUUGGUUUUGGGGUACAUCUUGAUUUUGUGAAAUCUUCAAAAACAUGCUCUUGCAUCAUAUUUCCGAAGGCUUUUCAUCUGCAUUACUAAGUUGAAAUCUUGAUAUUUUACAUACUUGUUACAUUUCUCAACCACAUCUGUAUUUGUAACCUGUAAUCCAUUGCUUUCUCUUUGCGUCAAGUUCUUUUUCUCUUUUCUUUUGCAUUUUGAUAUUGGUAUACAUCUGUAGUGAACUCCUUUUACAGUUAAAGGGUAGAUACAACAUUCCUCAUUACACCCCACAAACAAGCCCGCCCCCCACGCCACCCCACCCCAUCACCACCAACGUAUUAACCACACAUAUUAAUUUUUAGAUGGGGCUUACUAAAGAUUGUUGUGGCAGAGAAAUGCUAUUUAGAGUCUGCCCCUUUUUUCUUGAUUAGAACUAUUAGGAACGGCAAGCCGACGUGUGUGAUUUCUUAAUUGAUUCCCAAGUCUUAUCUUCUUGUCUUGUUAAUUUUUGUACAUGCCAGAUGCUAGCAAAUAACUAUCUAUUAGAUUUUAGAGGGCUAAGAGUCCUAUUAGUCUGGGAGUGAUAAUUUUGAUGUCCAGAAGCGAAGUGAUAAUUUUGAUCGGAAAUGGAUGUGAUGAACCAUGAAGAGGGUUUAUGUAACUUCCUUUUCUUAUAAAGAUGUAACAUACACUUUUAUAUACGGUAAACCAUUUAUUCAGAAAAAUUAUGACUCGCUAAAUUAGCAAUACUUAGCAUAAAAAUAGACAGUAUAUAAAUCAUGUGUUUUAUUAAUGAAAAGUACAAUGAGAUCAAUUGCUAAAUACAAUAGCACCUUUAUGAUAGACGACUCUGCGUUCAUUUUGUGAUCGUUAGCAGUUAUUGGACAGGCUAUUAGUUCUUAAUAUGGCUGUAGAGAAAAAAAUAGUGGAUUGAAGAUGUACUGAAGGUGGAUGGUGGUUAUAGUAUGAAGAGUAUGACGAGGAAUGAAGAGCCUCCCUCCAAGUUAGGGACCUACUUCUUUCCAGAAUGAGAUAGAGGGUUGUUGAGACAAUACGGUGACAUACAACACUUAUUAGAAUGCCCCAAUCCAUCAGGGUGAGACAAUCAUAAAUAGGCUGGUUUGUGCAGCAAACAAGAAUUGUUAUGGGUGAUCCAACAUAGUUAUUCAUACCUUGCAAUUGCUCGUUCAUUCAUCUAGAGUGUCUUAUCGAAAUUAAUCUAAAUCAAUAGGGAAAGAUAGAAGAACUCUAUUUUCUGCUACUUCUGCUUUCAGUAUUAUUGGUUUUUGAUUAUAGUAGUCUCUGUCUGUAUAUGCUAAAGUCCUGCCGCUAUUGAGCUUUCUGUCUACAACGAAGAAAGAUAUCAAUUGUAGUGGCCUUACAUAUAGAUCAAUUGUAGUGGCCUUGUAUGUUUUUUUAACUGGAGUUCUUUUCUUUUUCCUUAUUCAUGUCUUAGUUCUAUAUUCAAUCUUGCUAGAUUGCCUGUGCUAGUCUUGGAUCUUUCUUGCAAUGCCUUUUCUUUUCUUGCCUCUUUGAUCCUCUGUAUCUUUAUUUCUUAAAUUAUGUGUUUAAGAUCCCUGGAGUAGACGAAACUCUUUAAUGAAUCAGGCAUGAUGUGUUGCUCUGUGCCAAAUAUUUCAGAAGAAUAUGUAGGUCACUAUCUAGCUCUACAAGUUAACUUGGUCUUCGUAGUAACAGCUGCUACCUGGAAGAAUUGUUAGUCUUUACAAAACCUUUCAUUAAACUUUUCUUGUUCUGUCUGAUUGGUCGUGUUGGACCAAUUAAUCUGUGCUUCUAGGUUGUUACUAGGGUCGCCAAAUAUGAUAGGAUUUGAUCCUUAAUACAUUGUAUGGACAACAGGUUUUUUUUUUUUUUUUAACUCAAUUUCUAUCUGAUGAGUGUGCCUACAGAUGAUGGAUUAUUUGUAAUCUACUCAUCCAAACAAACAUUUUUUAGAAAAUCUCUCUUGUUUCUUUCUUCUUUACCCUAUUUUUCUUAAAUAGUAUAAGUUUGUAAGCCAACAGACAACAAUACAAACAGAGAAUACAUCCGUCAUGCUACUUCCAUCACAUAUGUUUUUUUUUUUAACAUAAUCAGCAUGAAAGAUUGUUUGUUAUAUUUUUGAUCAUGUCUCACAGAAAGAAUACAGAUCACUGGCAAUCAUUUGGAGAGCCAAGCAUUUUCUAUUUGUUUGCCAUUCGGCCUCUAUUUUUUGCAUAAAACUUAUUUGAUAUUCGUUUUUGCUCUUUGUUUUGCUAACAAGACUAACUGCCGAACUUUUGUUUGCUUUGUAGGAUGAGUUUCUCGGUGCAUCUUUCAACGACUCUACGACGUAUACUUAUCUCUGUUUCUAUUAUACAUGUUUGAAAGAUUGAUUUCCGCAAAUUUAUUUUGUUAAGUUAUAAUCUGUUGAGAGUUAGCUUACGAAUCACCCAAACAGUGCAACUAGGAAUGGAUGGUUUCGAGCUGCGGCAGAAUUAUGUGACAGGUUGAAAUAUCAAAAAAUUAUUAGUUUAUUGGAUUUUCAUGAUAGUUCUAAAAUUCUUCAUUUUCCUCCAGUCCUAUUUUUUUUAAAAAAAAAUUUCCAUGCAGUGUCUUUUGGCUUAUGAAUUUUGAUUAUUGUACGGCGGCUUUUAGCUCCGUUGAUCAAAUUUCUUUGGCGGUGUUUGUUUCCUCAUUUUUGCUGAGUAGCAGGAAUUUGAUUCUCUUGCGAACGAAGUAUACAUGAAGUGAGGCAUUUUCAACAUUCAAUGCAUCACGCUUUGCUGCAGGAACAGCUCUACUGGCAUAAUGAAUGACAUUUACAUAUUCUGCAUUGAGUAAGGCUAGAAUGUUCCUAGUAAGUACACAGACUAUUUACUUGUGCAUCGUUUUGGGCAAAAGAUUAUACUUGAUUCACAUAUUUAAGCUUGAUUUAAACUAUUUAACCUUCUUACGCUUAAAAUUUUUGCUAUUUUGUGAUAUUAUUUGCUUAGUAUUUGAGUAGUACCCAAAUUAAUAAUUCUUAAAAGCUAAUAUAAAGUGAAUUUGAGACUAUUUGUUCACUAGUUAAACAACACUCUAAAAUUAUGAAUUUAAUUUCUGAAAAGUUUGAAUAGUUUAAAUCAUAUUUGACAACGUUGAUUGUCAAUUCGGAUUUUUCAGUCUCAAAAGGCUAUUGGAUGAGUUACAGGAGAAUUUUCUCGAUAAACGUGAAAUUCUUUGUGAUAUGCUCGGGAAAAAAAUAUAUAUAUUAUCUUGAGAUACUCUUCUCUGCCGAAAAAUGGCAGCUUGAAGGUUAUUACGCUCGUUACCCAAACUGUAAGUUGGCCGAUUAAAUCCUACCCUCCAAAAAAUUAAAAAUAAUUAUUCAGAAACGAGUUCUAUGAUCGUCUAAGGGUUGAUCACUUGUGAGAGGAAUCAACUAAACACGCUACCGACCACCGGUGAGGACUUUCAUGUGCAACCACCACCGACCCGGUUAACAAACGUUAUAAAUUCUGGUGAGGAAUUUCACGUGCAACCACCAACGACCGCGUUAACAAACGUUAUAAAUUCUUAAGCAUAAAUGUCUAUGACCAUUUUAUACCAGAAACUAGAAAGGUACGUUUCAGGAAAAAUAAAAUAAAAUAAAAUAACUAAAUUAGGACAAAAGACAACACAAUAUACAGGAAAGGCCUUGCUGAUAUAUCUCUUGAUUUAUACGUACAUCCAUAUACUACGAAAAUGUAGCUCUUUUGAUAACAUAAGUCUGGUUUCCUACCUGAUUGAGAUGGCCGCAGCUCACACCGAUAAGGGUUUCACAAGUGACAGUCCACUGGAUUUGGAUAAUUAUGAUCUUCGUCUGUGAAGCUAGAGUGUGCAAUUUGGUGGGAUUCUCUGCUAAGAAUUUCCGGUAUCAGUGACAAUAUAUAACAUCAGUUCUCUGUCCAUGUCACCUACUAGCAAGGAGGGAAUGAAUUGAAGUACCGGCACCUGCGCGUUUCCUUGCCUGGCAUAUAGGUAACAGUUCAAAGAUUUGAAUAGGUUAAAAAGAGAAGCAAAUAGUUGCCAUAUGUGAGCCUUUUUGACCCCCAAAAGAGAUACAUUUACUAAAAUGAUACCUUCUCAUUGUUGAACAGAUCCUCAGCAACAGCUUCCAUUUGCUUUCGCUUCUUCUCCUCCCUCAUGUAUUCUAUCGAUUUGUUACUCUCAUCGUCUGAUUCUCUGCAAAACGUGGUCUUAGUGAUUUGUAUCUUCAUGCUUCAAUGAAUUUGAAAGCGGAAAAACUACAAUUUGCUUACUUGUAUGGAUCUUUGGAAAACGGAAUGAGAUCUCUAAAGCUGUUGCCGGACACAGUUUCUCUCUAUAAAAUGUCAUUUAAAGAGCACAUUAUCGUGUUGCCAUUGAAGCAUGAGGUGUUGAAAAAAGAAAAUACAAUUUCUCUAAUAUAGAAAAGAACAAUUUACAAGUUACAACUACUUACCUUUCUAAAGCGCUUGAAGUUGACUUCUGUUUCAGUAGAUCUAACAGGAGCUGGCAUUUGGAUAGUUCUAACAAUCAAAUCUUGACUGAAUAGUAUAUCACAAUUUUCAUGUCUGUCGGCAAUAGAGUCAUCGCCUUUGUCCCUUCUCUCUAUAAUCCGAGCAUCCUCGUCCCUGGGCUUUAAAACCUUAUCUGAAUCAGCUGAAAGGUUUGCAUUAUUUUCUCCUUCCAAUUUUGUAGCGUCUCCUUCAUCUUUCAAAAUUUCUUUUGAACAUUUCUCAUCACAUUUAGGUUUAAUUUCAUUUUGGGAUUUGACAGCGACGGCAGCUUGAUCGGAAGUUGCAGUGUCGAUUUCAACAUCGGAAUCCGCUACUACAGUCUCGUCAGUGGAAUGUGAAGAUGAGACGAUAACUGCGAGAAAAUUGAAGGACUUACUUGAACAGCAAUGCUGGAAUAGUAAAGCAUAUUGCUGAAUAAAUGACACCUCAAGUGAAAUGAAGUUAUUAAAAGUUGCCAGUGAGCAUUGCCAAAAAAAAUUAGCUAACAAAGAAGUACAUAAUGACACGGGACAAGCACAUUACUAGUUGAAGGUAAGCUUGUAGCAUAAGGUUACUGUUCAGUGCGCCAGAUGUAACAUGAUUUUGUAUCAUAAUACAAUGACGUAACUACAAUACAGCAUGAAAGCAAGUGGAUAUAUUUUAAAGAAUAAAACAAAAUACAAGAUACAGGUGCAUGUUUUGCAAUCACCUUAAAAUAAAAAGAAGAACAAAAGGAUAGAAAACUCAAUCCUUCUACACUGUGAUAUGUGCGUUUGUGGUAAAAGCGAAGCAUUAUCUCCACUUCGUACCACAAUAAUCACAUCAUGUACAAGUGAAAAUCAUGAAAAAAUAAAUGCCUGUUAUAUAAUGAAUAUGCACAUUAAAUUAGAAUUCCAAGUAAUAGUGUAUCACCUGGACUACAUAUUCAGAAACAAUCUUUCCAAAAUAGAAGGCGUUUCCGAUCAGCGAAUUCUACUGGAAAUACUAUCUUUCUGGUGAUACGCUGAAAAGGAUUUAUUAGGGAUCAGCGCUCAAAAUACUUACAAGCAGGUGGCUCAAUGACGGCCGAGUCCAAGUGUCCAGAUAAUAUAGCUGCGAUUAACUUCAAAUCAGUAACUUUAGAUAAAGACGAUAGCUCACGUGAGUGAUCAAAUUCCGUUAUUGAUUUUGCAGGAACAACAAGAACUAUCUGGUUAUUUUCUCCACCAGCCGAUGUCUGCAAGUUCAAAAUGGGUUUGAUCAGAAUAAUGGAUGGGACCUUUGCAAAAUUAGGUGGAAUUUUAGGCAAAUUAGUUUUUAUAAGGACAAUCAAAUAACACUAGUUGGAUCAACCUCUGACCUGACUAUUUGAACAAUAUUCAUCAACUUGGAGGAACUUUGCUCCUGCUAGUUCAAGUAGCGAAUGGAGCUUCUCUCCAAAUUUAUACUGCACCAAGAUGGCAUUAGCUAUAACAUCCAAAUUUAUACUGCACCAAGAUGGAAUUAGCUAUAACAAAAACAUUCUUACAUCUAAAGAUAUGAAUACAAAGAAAAUAACCUUACGUGACGAUCCCAGAAUAAAUGUAUAGCCAACCAGGCAACUUUCACGAAGAUUCGCCUCCACUGCCUUUACCGCUGUUCCAUCAAGAGUCAAGUUUGGAACAUAGCUGAGGAAAUGGAUUGCCAAAUCAGCUUAUGAAAUUGUGGCAAACAGAUGUAUCAAGAUGAGCACAUUAGGAAAGAUGAAAUUGGUCUGCAAAUUUAUAAAAAGCGUCAAAAAUUAGUUUCAGACAAAAGGUAUGAAACUUACGAAGCACAAGAUGGCAUUUCUGUCCGUAUAUUUUGCUCAGCAAGCACCUGGAAAAAGGCAUCAACAACUUAGAAUCAAAUUGGAGUUGCUGUUCCGGUAGUCAAAAAGGCUUCUAUCAGUCAAAAAAGGCUUCUAUCGCACAAUUGCCUUUUAUUAAACACACACUACAUAUGAUGGAGAACGCUGGUGGAUGACGAUGGAUCACAAUUCAAAUUGAGUAAUCUUCAAAAUAUAGUAACACUCUUCUAACUCCUUAUAACAACUAUGAGAAUUUAGAAUCAAAUAUAAAUGCAAGGCACAGUAAGCAUAUUCAUUAGUUUCUCAACUAAAUAGAUGUACUUGCAAAAGCAUCAGGAAUUACCUUAAACCAAUCACCAGAAACAAUCUGUUUUUUCGUUAAGACUGCUUCAAUAAGCUCAGGCGUCAACGGCGAAGACUCAUCAACUAGAACAUGUGUACACUCAUCACUCCACUUACGAGUGGUGUAUACACCUGAGCAAAAGUAUUGCAUAUGUAAGAAGAAAGAUCAAUUAACAAAGAUAGAACAGAUUUCGAAUGACAAGUGAAAGGGCAGUGCAAGCUCACCACAGGUCACAAGAUAAUCUUUAUUGCUACACAGGAAAAGGAACUAAAGAUAACGUAUCUGAACUCAUCCAAAUAGGAACCUCUGUUCUCUAAAGAAAAAUUUUCAGAAAGGAGAUUAUGCCUACAAAAAUUCCAAAUAACAAAACCUUUUACACAGCUGGAGAGAAUCUACCCCAACUAAAGAAUACAGUUAGAUCACACAGAUAAAGAUAUUCUCGAUGAUUUUUUCUCUAUCUGUUUAAUUGGUACCAUGCAUGACUUUUGCUAAGACAAAAAAAAAAAAAAAAAAAAAAAAAAAAAAAAAAAACAAGGAUUGAAACUUGAGAUAUCGCCAAAUAACUAAAAUCGGAAUUGACUAUGUGCGCAAAUUAAAUGAAUUUGAUCAACCCUAUCAUUGUUCAAGAGCAGCUCAAAUUAAAUUUCAAACCUAAAUUUGUAUGAAGCUUGCUUGUUAUAUAUAUGAUGCAAGUCCAAAUCAAACCAAAGUUAUUUCUCUAAGAAUGCGACAAAUCAACUUGUAGAUGAAAUGCAUUUUCCUGAAAAGUCAAGAUUAUGAGGACCUCAUAAUGGACAAACUCUUAGAAUGAAAUCACAAAUGUUAAGCCCUAUUCUAUGAUAACUUGUUCCAACUUCCAAAAACACCCCCAAAAGUUCAAAUCAUUAUAUCACAACAGGUAGAAAAAGAUACUAAAAAGCAACAAGCAUUGGCAGCAGAAGAAUAUCCACCGACCAAUAGAUGACAUAAUGGCCUGCAACGAAGGAUCAAUUCGAACGAACUUCUGAACAAAUGUUAUGAGAGGAAUAAAAGAGAACCUGCCAGAAGACCAUGAAGACUUGGAUUAACAUAUAACGCCAAAUAGAAAAUGGAACACAAUGGUGCAACCAGAGCAUUCAAAACUAGCAACUGCUAAGGUGAACAGUAAAAGUAAAAGGAGCAGCAAAAUGUAUCGUCUGUGGAUAAGAGUAAUCAACAUUGCUACUAAAAGAGAAGUAUGGUUCUUCAUUAUACUCGAAUCUAUCAAUCACCUGAAUGUUGCAGUGCCGGUUCCGAAUGUUACAGAGUCCCCAUCUUUGAGAACCACCUGCUGAUCUUUGUUUAUACGAGAACCAUCAUUCCCUGAUUCUUUGUUUAUAGAGGUACCAUACUUUGAGCGGUCUACUAUAUAAACAUGUGAUGGAAAAUCUGCAGACACAGUAUGUGAAGGAUCCCGAGAAACCAUUUUCUCAACAACAAUUUCAGCAUGAACCCGUGAUAUCGAUGUGUCCGUUUGUACUAUAACAUCACAAUCUAAAAGACAAAAAGUAAAAAAAGAAACAAAUGUAAGAAGAUAAGCUAGCAAUACGCAGUGGACAAGAUUGUGUCGCCUUGUACAAAGAUGUACAGCUAGUUUGAUUGGCUGUGCAUUCAAAAGUUUUAACAACUCCAUUCAUCAUAUUUAAGGGCUAGAGAACUCAUCAGGAUAAACCCCAUAAACAAAGGUUGCUUGAAUGCAGAAUGAACACCUCUUGUCACCUCAACCAACCAAAACCUUCAGAUCAUAAUUAUGCGAGGAGCUCAAGAGAAACAUGGAUGAUGAAGAAGCACAAAUAAAUCAACAACAAAAAUUUUGAAAAUAAGAAAUCGGUCUUUCUUAUUCUCAUCUUAAUGCUUGUUUGGACAUACUUCUCCUCUCGGCUGCACUCGCCUCCAAUAGAGCGCUUCACGAGCUAAAAUGAUAUUUUGAGCCCCAAAAGUAGAAGCACCAAUUCUUGCUUCAUUCUUCUGCUACAAAUAGACGCUGUUGGGAGGAUUUUUGACAUAGUACUUCUCCUAAAAGCACUAGUCAUGCAGUACUUCAUCGAACAACACUAAACACUUCAGCACAGCCAAACAAACCAUCAACACUCUUGUCGUAGCAACUUCUAGAACGAUCAUUUAAAACCCUAAACCCAAAUUCUAAAUGCAAAAGUUAGAUGAAAGAAAGCGAGACGGAAACCACCUUUUCGGCCAACUUUGUAGGUUCCAGCAGAGAAGAUGUAGUACCUCUGAGCACCUACGAAGCAACAACAAUGCUAUAGAAUCAAAUGCAGUACAAAUCAAAAUCCCUAAAUUGCACCCAUAAAAGUUGAAACUUCGCGUAUAGCAUCGACGGAGAACACAACUAACAGUAGAUUACUGCGACUUUUGCAUGAUUUGAGCCCAAAAUCGGAUACAAAUUACUGAAAAAAAGAGACCAAAAUGGAACAAAAAUGGGGAAAAAAAACAAGGGGGAACCGCACCACGAAGGGAAUCGAUGGGGAUUAAACACCAAACCAUCUUCGAACGUCUCAGUUGCGACGAGUUCGACGAUCAAUCGAGGGGGAAAAAGAAAGGUGGAAGACGAGGAAGCAUCGGCAGCGUCUCGAAUCUCCGCGCCGACCUAAAUAAAAGCGGCGCUUUUGAGAAAAGAAUUAAAUCGUGGCCGUCACACUUAAGUGGGUCCCAUCAGAUCAACGUAUAUUACGUGUGACGAUUCACAUGUAAUUUUUCGACGGUGCGCAAUUUUUGUUUUUAAUUACGUAAUUUUCCUUUUAAGCAAACUAAAUUACACUUUUGGUUCACCAAUUAAAGGAAGAGUGAUACUUCAAUCCUGGGAUUUUACUUUUUUUUUUAAUUUUUUUAUCAAAACUUUAUAAUCAUUCUAAUUAAAUUGCACAAUCUAAAAUAUUCAGUAAUAUACUAAUAUUGAUAAUACGAUAAUUAUUAAAAUAUCACAGUAUUUGUACAUCAAUAGCAUCGCAACAAAUCAACUAAAUUAAGUUGUGCCAUUACAUUGCAACAACUGCUAAGUUCAACUUAGAAAGUGUCACACCCCUGAUAAUUUGAGAAUCAAAAGUUUAAUUUUGCCUUUUAGACGCUAAUAGAUUACUUAAUUUUCAUGCAUUCAACACGUAACAACUGAGAUGUCACAGUUCUCCGUGUCAAAAACAGGCGAAAAUAAUAGCAAAGGAAAAAAGCAUGGCAACAAUUACAAAUUCAUUGCUUACCACAAAGAAAGAGAUGCAACAAAGCCAUAUGGCGAAAUUACAGAGAGAUGCCCAUAAUUGGCUAUAGAAGCGCACUGGCUUCAUAGACACAUUUGACUCGGUUACCAGAACUUUGGUCUUACCAUAGUUGCUGUCACUGAGCAAUUUUUGUAGUUCCAGUGGAACCAAAAUCGACUUCAAAAAUCAAAACAGCAGAACAAACAUCGAAGAAAUUUCCCAGAAAAAAUUAAAAAAAUCACUCCAACCGAACAGAUCGAUUACCAUUACAAUUAAAUAACACAUCAAAUUCACGAUUUUGAUCCCCUAUGUGGAUCUUAGUUGGAUUUCGGUGUAUACACGAAUGAUACAAAUUUAAAACCAGAAAACAAGAGUUCUACUAUGUACAUAAAUGGCAAAGCAAGCAGAAAUUCACAGCUAUAUGCGAUGAGAUGAUGGACCCAACUUUUGUAGCAUAAAUUCUAUUUUACACAUCUGGAAAAGAAGGCAAAUGCCACCCUGAUUUGUUAGAUAUCAGUCGAUUUAUAAAUUAGGGAUAGAGAGAACCAUUUUAACCCCGGCUUAGCUUCCAGUUAAAAAAUUUGCAUACAUGCAGCAUAAAUACUCAGAUUACUCGCAUUACUCGGUGUUCUCAUCAAGCAAUGGCCUACGGUUUGACCUCUCAACAUUAGGAACAUCAUGUUCACCGUCCUCAUUGAAACGGUCAACACUGUGCAGAAAUAUACCUGACAAAACAACCAACAGAAGUGAGCAACUGGGGAAGAGAAGCACAAAGUUAGAAAAGAGAAUAAAUUACCCACUGAAAGAGGUGCCAGAUAGGAACGCAUACCUAUAAACCAUAUUACAGCUGCAACAAAAAGAACAGACGUCAAAAUCAGUGCAGUUUCUCUCCAGUUGUUGACUUGAUCCUGCAUUAUCAUUCGAAAAAGUAAACUUUGUGUGAGGAAAGAAUGUGCUUUGCUUAGUCUAUUGCUAGACUCCUAGAAAUCAGCAAGUAACAUCAUAAUGUAGACAAAAACAAACAAGGAAUGUGUGAUGUACGCAUCCAAAUUACACCAGCAUAUGAAUAUGCAUCAUGUGUGUAAAAGAAUAUUUGUCGGAACAUGGUAAACAGCUAUUCUGAUUGUUCCUGUUAAUCACUGAAUGCCAUCAACAACACAAAAAGUACUUUUGAUCCACAUCUCAUGGGGUUUUAUAACAUCCUCGAGGUCAUUUUCUUGUUUGACCAAUGUCAACCUCCUAUAUAACAUCCUCGAGGUCAUUUUCCAAGGUUACAAGCUCACUAAGCUCCUCUACGAUGAUUGGAACAUGAACCAAGUUUCAAUAUUGUUUAAACUACCAUCCAUUUUCCUAAGUAAAACAGUGAGGUAAUAUUGGAGAUCCAACAGAUUCAGAGAGUAAAAUCUCUAGCUAAGCUAGUGCAGACGCCAUGAAGUAGCAGCCAUAAAAGUAGAGCUGAAAAGUUGUUGUAACAAACCUGCAAAACCCCAACCAGAGGGGAAGAAGGUACAUCACCGAAUAUAUGGAUAGAGACAGUGGACAUAGCCAUUGACAGUGGUCUCAAGCUAGGUUUUAUGCAGUGAAGGCAUAUAUAGUUCACAGGACCCUGCAUAAGUGGACAAGGUGAAAUAAACACUCGUUGCAUCAUGGCAGUUACAAGGGAUCCGUGCAAACCAGACAGCAUUGCAAGAGCAUGUUGUUCACAUUUCGUAGUUCAUCCUUAGUAAAGAUAUUAAAGAAGAGUAUAUAAGACAGCUAGUCUGAAGUAAACAAAAAACCUCCUUGCAUUUGACGUCUUAAACUCCAGCUCUCCAAUGGAGAAGAAUGAUAUAAAACCAUAACUAGUUUCAUACCUGUGUGGCAAAGACGAGCAGCUCUCCAACAGAAAAGAAGGCUAUAAAACCAUAUAGGCUCUUGAAACAGAAAGCACUAAAACAAAAUAUAGCCCCCAGAAAAGUUGCUCCAGAAAGAAGCUGAAAAACAACCAAAUUCCAAUGAAUACAUGAGCAACAUACCUUAAUAUACAUAGAGGUUUGUAUAAGAAAACUAAAUCCCAGACCCUUGUGAUAUAAAAGCAUGACCUUUGUGAUAAAAAAGCAUAGCCCGAGUAUUGACACCUCUGACUAUUGAGUACAGCACCAUUAAGGAUUUGUCUGGCACCAGAACUCACCAGUAUCCUAAGUUAGAGAACCUACUAGCUAGGGCAAUGCCAAUAUGGAUGUUCCAACCACUUUAGAAAAGACAACAAAGUAUUCAUUUUUUUGGUGGCAGAGUAAUGUUUUAAGCAUUCUGCACUAUUUUCUGUGGAGAAAUCACUCCACAGACGUACUGUAAACUUCCUUAUUUUACAGGUUUUUUGAUGUGAGACAUCAAAGGCUAUUUGAUGUAAGAAAUAUACAGAUAUUUAUUCUGGCACACAAAGUUGCAACACACGGAUGAUCUAUUCAUAUAAUAUGCUGUAGAGGAAUGAGAGAAGUCAAGUUAACUCUGAAAACAAAGCAUCAAUUACACCAAAAGCAGAAGACCUUUUUUAUUAUUCGUCCUUGAAACUUCAGAAGUAUAAGAAGUUAAAUUUAACUUUUAAUCUUCUUCUGCUUACUAGUUAAUUCUUUUUAGCGAAGUACCAAAAGGCCAGAACUUCAGGCAACUGAUCUUACUACUAAUGCUCCUUUUCAGAAAAGUUUUCAUACACCAUUAUGGUAAUGUCCUUGCCACAAUACGUAUAUCAAUUUUUAUUUCCAUUCUACCUGCGUACUUUGUAUUUGGUAAAGAUAUUUUAAGGAAAAACAAUAACAUUAUCGCCGCACAAAAAGGACAUAUAAAAUGAAAUACAAUCACAUAAAAAGAAACUAAAAAAAGGUGCUACUUUUUUCUGAAAUGACAGGUACCUUGAAAGCAUUUGAGAUUGUUGAAUCCAUUUUGUCAAGAACAAAACCACCAGCUAAGGUUCCAAAAAUUCCGCAUAUUAUUGUUAUUCCUCCAAACAUCAAAUCUGCAUUGCUCUGACAAGGAAAAGAUAAUAGGAAAAGGAUGCAUAGUAAGGUCAAAGGACACACAGUGUAAAUAGAUUGCUCUCUCGCACCAAAGAAAUGAAAGAUGCACUCUGUAUUUCCAAUGUUUAAUUCAUCAACGCCAAUUAAAACUUAAAGAAGAGAUGUUACCAUAUGAUAGAUAUCAUAACCAGCUUUUGGGCCCCAGUAUGAAUAGGCUCCAAUGACAAAGUUGUACGCAAUAUAACCUGGAGAAGAGUAUUUCAGUUCUAACAGAAACAUUUAAUUAAGCAAUAUGUACAUAACAUGAAAUAAGUAGGGCACAUCUAAUUUAAAACUGUAAAAAUAGCAAACAAUCCUCUUCUAAAUUAUAGGUAUCACAUUUAGGCUGACAGCUGGAAUGUUCUGACCUAAAACAUUUACGACAUACACCUUCUCAUGCAGAAGUGCUUUCAUAUCUUUCCAAAACCGCUUAAUUUGGAUCAAAAAUUGCUUGGAACCCGUUGACCUGCCAGAUGUCAGGGGAAAGACUUAAUAGAGGGAAAAUUCACAGUUCAAAGUCAUAAAGAAAAACAUGCCAUAUAAGCAAAGCAUUCUGUCAAAGGAAACAGUAACACCGAACCGACGAAUCAAGUCCCAUGGCAUUCAACAAGACUGCUAUGGAAAAGAAGAAAAGUACAGAACGAAAGGAUACCAUACAAGUUAAAUUUCUGCGAUGUUUUAUCAGCUAAGUCAUUAUCAACUGGUAUAGCCUGUUCUGCUGUUCGUUCAUCUGAAAUUCAAAUUAUUAUUAACUAAUCAAUAAAAGAAAGAAUGAAAAUUAACUAACUACCAGAAACUACAGAAAUAGAUUUAUUACAAUUCCAUACUGCAGAUUAGUCACACAAAACAAAACUACAACAAACAUUCUAGAUUGUCUAAAAACAAUUUCCUCCACAGAAUGGCAGAAAGUAAACUCAAUUGUUGAGCAAAUACAGGGUUAAGAUAAACUCUCGACAAGAAGAUGAAAUGUUGCUGAAGAAUUCUUGAAAACUAACAAGCUGAUUUAACACAAUUGAACUUCAUAAACAUAUUUACUUGUAUGCAAGUGAUUCAAAUAUUUGGUAUUGUAUUAAUCAGCAUACUUGUAUCAUCUUGAAACUUUUGAUCAAUCAUUUCCCCAUAGCCUUUUGCUUCCUUUGAAACAGAUGAAGCAAAGCCUGCAAAAGUCACAAGAAAAUUCGAAAUAUCAGAAUAUUUUAAGAAAUGUUAGAUGCAUAAACACCUAAAAGAAAAUAAAUAGAUACCCUUUAGCUGCAGAGGCUUAAUGACAAAACCCAGAAUAGCAAAUGGGAGCAUCAAAAUGGACUCUCCCCAAAAUGCAGCACGCCAAUGAAGAUGACUACCAACCUGACAUUUGCAAACUCUCAAGGAUCAACAAGAUUUUUUUAUUUCAUAUGAUACUCGGAUAUCAGGGAAGCUACAAAUUCAAAUAUUGAGCAUCUAAACAUUAUGAAGAAUCCCAUUCAAACUAAUAGUUUAAUACAUGUAGAAAUUCACAAACGUAGAGACUCUUGAACUGACUGCAACUGGAUGCAGCAGUCAAUUCAUCCCAUGCGUGAUCUUUUCAAAUAGCCGUAACUUUUGAAGAUCUAGAGAGCUAUAUGAGCAGAAUAUUCAUGCACAUGCCAUUGGAGCCUAUUAACUUUGUAUUAAAACACUGUGCACUUAAUUUCCUUCUACCCCCUAAAUUCAUAUAAUGGGGAACAGACUUAGUUUAAGCUCAGAAACUGCCCAACAAAUUAAUGCAUUAGUUUAUCUUUUUUGACAUGGCAAAUUUCUUGUAGUAUUGAUUGUUUCAGUUGAUCCGGAAAUGACAACAAUUUUAACUGUUACAUGUUACUAUUCAAGAAUUAGCUCCUAGAAUGCAAAUGUAAGGGAUCUUGACAAUCCGAGAAAGAAAAAAAAGGUUAUGUAGUGCAAUUGAAACUCACCAGCCCACCAUAAACGUAGCCAACUGCAAUCCCAGUUGGUAUACACAUGUAGAAGAUUGAGAGCCAAGCAGUUUUCUGGAGCCAUGGGAUUUAACAACAAAAUUAGCUCACUACAUCUAGCAAAGCAAGCAAUUAGAAAACAGAACAUGCCAUAGCACACCAUAGCAAUCAGAAAACAGAACAUGCCAUAGCAAUCAUAAAACAGAACAGAGCAUUGCAAGUGUGCAGACAUAACAUGGCUUAACUAAAAUAACUGCCAAUGCUAACAAGUUGAUUUAUCAAGGGAAUCGUAUAUCAAGCAGACCUGAACUACAAAUCUGGUCCUAAAAAUAUAUAGAGCAAAUAAGUUACUGCUUUCCCUUCCGAAGCGUUAGUGAUGUAUGCAUCUAGAGCAUUAUAAGUUACUCCUUCACUUUUGGUGAAUGUUAAAACCCUUUACUUUUACUUUGUGAGAAUAUUAGAUUUCCACUCGUGGUUCUCAAUUUCUUCUUUUUAACUUUCUCAAAAUUACCAAAACCAAUUGACAGCUGCUGAAACAUCCUAACAGCCUAUAAAUUGGUCAAAGAAAUUUAAACAAACCUGAGCUACAGGUGCAUUAUCAUCAAUAAACGGAGCAGCAAGACUUAUAAAUGAAGCCUCACCAACACCAACCAACCUGGAUAACAAGAGUAAGGUGUUAUUCAGUAAUCACAUAGCUUAAUACUAGUUGCUUUUUAUUUGAUCCACUUACAUGCGGCAUAUUGUGAUUGACCAAAAAUCAAAAGAACAUCCACAACCAGCAGUAGCAAUAGUCCACACUAACAAUCCAACUCCAAUAAGCCUGAAAGGAUUAUGGCUGAAAAGACAAGAUAUAACAUUAAUCAACCACUAAGAUAUGUGGGAAAUCCCACAAAUUUGUUAUAUUUAUUCUAAAACGUUUAAAGAAAAAUCUUGAGAAAUUAGAGUACAAGUAUUCAAUUUCAACCACAUAAUAGCAGGAGCUAAAAAAGGACAAAUUAAAUAUAAUUAUGGAUUCAUCAACAUGUUUAUCUUUCUUUGAGAAGCAUCUUGUAGCCCAUCCUAAGCUGCAUAAGAAACAUCACUGAAAAGUUUAUAUGAUGAAGCAAUGCUAGCCUUUUUUGGGCUACAUGUUCCUCAUUUUCAAGUAAAAUCACAUAAGUUAAUGAAGUAGUAUAAAAAGUAGCUACAUAAACAUAUUUCAAUAUAGGUUGGAAAGAAAGCAUAAUGAGAUACCAGUGCAGUUCAGUGUCAAAUAUCUCAAAAACUAACCUCUUUGCCAAAGAUGCAAAAAUGGGGGAAGCUACUAACAGUCCAACCAUGAAUGCAGACGACAGAACACCAUCUUCAAAAUAAUUCAAGUUAAAGUCCCCUCUGCAAAAGAAAGCGCAUAUAAAUCUGUAACACAACAUCUGCAAUGAGGAACUAGAACAAGCAUGACUUCUUCACCAUAGUAAUUCACCAAGGUAAAGAGAACAUCCGCAUAAGCUAAAAGAAUAUUAAAGCAUUUUGCACUAAACUAGAAGGGCUCAUAAAAGAUUAUGCUCAUUUCUUCCAGGCACAGAACCAAAUACCAAAAGGUUAAGAUCAAAUAAAAUUCUUGAUGAAUCUUACUGAAUUCCAGAGCCUGAAGUACAAAUGCCACUGUCCGUACAUGUUCUACGACUACCGUUGACACCAUUACUUGCUAUAGCCCCUCGAUCAACAUAGUUUAGCAUGUUGAUAAUGCAAAAUAUCACAAGUAGUCUGCAAACAAAAGCCAAUUAAAUCAUGCUGAAUAAGGAAACUUAAGUGCAAACGCUACUCUGAAACUGUUAAUGCAUGACAUGCAUUAAUGGAUAUAAUCAGCUCAGGAAAGGAAAUUAGUCGGUCUUAUGUCAAAGUAAAAUAAGAAGUUAGAAGGAGGAGCCUGUACAGAAUUAAAUGUUCCUCAGUUAUAGAAUGUCAGUCCAGCUCUCCACGUUAAACAAAAAAAAUGAGCCCCAUCUUUCAUUUCAGAUAACUUACAAUACAGUAUAUGAAUAUUCAUCGCAAAGUUUGACGUCACUGAUAUUAAUGUUACAAUACACUCAAGAUAAAUAUAAGGAAACAUCUCGAUCAAUAUAAUUAUAAACAGUAAGUCAAUUAAAAAUAUUAUGUGAAACAUUCUGAGGAAUUGGUUAUCAAACCCUAUAUCCUAGCAGCUAGGGUAGAAGUAAUAUGGUGUGGUACAAUAAGAAAACACAUAUUUUCCCCAACUAAUAAGGAUUAAUUAACAAUCAAGAAGAUCUAUACUCGAAAAGAAUCAAAUUCUUGACAUUUCUUUGUUACACCUGCUUUUCACAAAACCUACUGUUCCUCCUGAUCCAAGUUUUAGGCAUCAAUAUCAUUCUCCAAGGACCAAUAUCGCCAACAUUACAAUAUUAUUACCCCUUACACCAGUAAUAUAACUAACAUCCUCUGCACACUCUUUCACCUCUAUUCUACACCAAUUUAGGGAUCCACCCUCAAACAACCCAAGCAUUUUAUAUUCCAAGCCACCAAAUCAUCUCCCAUUGCCACGAACAACACGAGAAUCACCGUUCUUUCCCAAAUCUAACCAAGAGUUCGUCGAAAGCAGGGUUUCUAGGAAUUCGACCCAUUUCAGAUUCCGAGCUACCAAAUCGCCUCAACUACACCGACCACCGCACGAAUCGCCCUUCCUCCCGAAAUCCAACCAAGAACCUUUCAAAGCAGCGCACGAAAAGGAGAAGAAACCCGGGUCUCUCGGUUACCUCUUCGGCGUGAACCACGAAGGAGACGGAUCGGGGCCGCUAGGGUUAGGGUUUCCCUCGGGAUCUCGGGGGAGAGAGAUCGCCAUCGCCGUCGUCGGAUUCGUCGUCGUCGUCGUCGCCGUCGUAGUCGUCGGAGUCGGCGGCGAUGGGAGGGGAGCGGAGUCCGGCUUGGAGGAGUCCGCCUCAGGCUUGUUAGGCUCGUCGCCCAUAAAGAAAACGAAAUGCCCCCUCAAAUAAAUAAUAAAUAACUAUUUUUUUGAAUGCGUAAAUAGCGAAAACACGAUGUUGUUACUUGUUAGAGAGAAUAUCCGUAUUUUUUCUUUUUAUUUUUUGCAACGGUUCGGGGUUUUCUUUUUUUCUUUUUUUUCUUUUUUUCGGUUUUAGAGGAAGAGUAGGAAGGAUAGGAGAGAUUGGGUGUCGCUCUCCCCUCUCUCUCCCCCACCCUCCUCUCUCUCUCUCUCUCUCUCUCUCUCUCUCUCUUUGUUGUUCAUAAUUUAAAAAAAAACUUUAAAUACCACUCUCUCUCUCUCUCUCUUUGUUGUUCAUAAUUUAAAAAAAAACUUUAAAUACCACCUCCUAUUUUCAUACUUUUUUAUUUUAAUAUUUUAUAAUUUUCUAUUUCGUACUUUAUAAUUUUAAUUUUUUUUAUUAUUUUCUCUAUUAAUUUUUUUUAUUAAAUCAGUGAGAAAAUUAAAAUAAAAAUACUAAAAUAAAUAUUCGAUAAAUCAUAGACGGUGUAUCUGAAACUUUUUGUAUAUGAUUUAACAAAAAUUUACUGAAUACUAAAAUAAAAAGUGAUAUUUAACGAAAAAUUACAGAGUACUAAAUUACAGAAAGGCUGAUGAAAAAAAUAAAACAAAAUUAUAAAAUACUAAAUUAAUAUUCUUUAAAUUAUAAAGUAUUAAAAAAAAUACGAAAUUACAGAAGUGGUAUUUGAAGUUUAUUCAUAAUUUACAGAGUAUGAUUCCUCUGCUAUACCCUAUCCAAACGGGAACAGGAAAAGUAUCUCGUGGACCAGGAGGAAUUCUACACUGUCACACUUGCACCACGUCAUCAAUAACAAGCCAAUCGCAUUCCUUCUUUUCAAACAAAAGUACAAUAAAAAUACUUUUUUACAAUCAUAAUGGGACAUGUAUUCUUAAAAUGAUUAAUUUGAUUGGUUUGUUACGCCACGUCACUAAUAUACCCGUUGCAUUCUAGAAUUUUUCCGUGGACCAGGGAAUGGGUCCCAUGAUUAUAUUCUAUUAGUCUUAUACUAAUUAUUAAUUUUGUUAAGAUAUUUGUAAAUCACAUACAAAUGUGUAUUUGCCCCCGAAUAAUAAAGUCUAAAUCAUUAAUAGAUAUAAUAUAUUUUUUCUAAUAAUAACAAAAUUAGCUAAAAUAAUAUCAAUUUUCGGAAAAAGAAUGUUCACCAUUUACCCAAGACAAUGAUAGUAUUUUGCUUAUAAUAUUUUUCAACUUUCUCCUUAAUUACUUUAUCAAUUUAAGCUGAAAUUAUAGUAAAAAAUUUCCACAAAGAGUAGCUGAAAUUAUGAACCUCAAAAUAAGUCUCCUUCUCUGUAGUGCUUUUUGUUUUUAGCAUAUAGCCUUUCCCUCUUUUCAAUUAUGAUUAUCCAUUUAUUUUCGUUUUAGAAGUUAUUUUACCCAUUAAUCAUUUUUCAGAAGUUGUUUAUAUAUUAUCAUAUCAGGAGUUAGCUAGAAUAUUAUUGAUAAUAUUUGACCUAUUUUGCUAUUAAAUUUUUAAUCCUUAAAUGAGAAAUUAUAGGAUUAGAAUGAUAUUAGUUUCUUUUAGGAUUAAGUGGUCCCUACUGGGUUAUAAUAUUUAAUCCAAUGACUAGAAAUGAUCAAAAAAUUUGAUCAAAAAAUUAAAAAUUUGAUAGCGAGUAUCAUUCAAGAACUAUAGCAGCACUCUUUCUUUUUUUUUUUUUUUUUAAAGCAAAGUUGGGGGUCACAGGUGGGAAAUAGCUGGCUGAAUUAGUGGGUUAAUCUUUUAAUAAAAGGCACAGCUCGAUUGUGCCGUAAAGGCUGGUUAUGAUUAGUAAAUUAUACAAUAUUUUUAAAAUUAUUUUUUGUGGUUCAAUGUGUUAUUUUUUAAUUAAGAGGCAAUUACCUAUAUACUCCUGAAAAGUUUUCGCUUUUCUUUUUUAUCUCUCUUAUAAGGCUAAUAUUGAAAAUACUCUUCUUAUGUUCCAAGUCUUUCUAAUAUACCUCUAUAAUUAAGUUCCGUUAGUGAGCUGCCGUUAUCUCUAAAAAAUUAUUAUUUUGCCCAUUCUAAUAUACCCUUAUACCGUAACUAACUUUUUUUAUAUACCCUUCAUAUAGCAAAUAUUUUUCUAAUUUGCCCUUCAAAUAUCAAUAAAUUAAUAAAGUACGUCGGGAGCGCAGAUGAACAAAUGAGAUCGAUCGCAGCUAAACCAACAUUGGUGGCUGGAAAGUUACUUACCAAUUUCAAGAAUAGAGAACUUUAAAUUGUGCCAUCGAUACGAAAAUUAUAUCGUGCCGAUAUCUUGCUCGCACAAUACGGUACGAUGGAUACAACCCAUACCAACGGCCAAUGCCGAUGGGCACUUUAAUCUUUGAUCCGCAGCUUGAUGUAAUUUGAAUUCAAAAACUUCUUCUCUUGUGUCAUAUUAAAUUAUAUAAAAAUAAUUAUUUAUCUCAAAAAUCUUAAAGUUAUUAGAUAAUGGUAUUUUUAUAUUUUAUAUCAACCCUUAGGUAGAAGCUCUCUAAUUUGAAGAGUCUCCAUUCACAAAAUAAAACAAAAGACACUUCAUUCCACAGGCGUGUAACUAAAAGAAUCUAAUCAUCAAGUUUAACGAAAAAAAAGUUCUCUAAUUUUAUAGGCUAUUGCUCAAAUAAAUAGCAUAUGGAGCAAGAACAGAUCCAUGUGAUUCUUUUGCAUCAGAAUCAAAUUUGAAGAACAAAGAAUAAUAAUGCAGACUAUGCAGUUGAACGCAGCACCUGCAAGUAAAAAGGAUAAAAUGCAGUUAACAACAAAGGAUAACUAAGGAAGGAAAGAACAAGAAAUGAGAGAAAAUUUUCCUCAACCUUCAGUUUAUAAAACUCGAGAUGAGGAGCCAAUUGUCUAGGAGAAGAGAUUGAGGAAAGAGGUCGCACCGAUGUUGCGCGACAUCUCCCGAUGUAGAUAUAGCUGACGAGGUCUAAAAUCUCUGAGUUCUACAAAAUCAGAACUAAAGGAUCACCUCGGAAGAUCAGGAAACAUUAAACUAAAUAGUGAACAGUUUUUUCACGGUAAUCUCCGUAAUAACGUGUAAGAGCUCACCUUGCGUUCACGGUUCUUUUUCUCUUUUUCUUCUUUAAUCCCCAAUCUUCUCUGCACAGUAUCCCUUUCCAGUCGAGAACUAUGGGAAGCCUUAACUUUCACACCAUUACUGCAUUUCAGCAGCAACCUGUGGAUAGUUGCAUUAAUGACAACACAUUGAUUGUGAUAAACGAGUAGUAGGAAAUAAUACUCUUUGUGACUGUAAUCACUGAGAAUCUAAGAGUGCGAUGAAAACAAAGUAGAACACAGUUUAAACGCAUAAAGGACAGAGAAAAAAAAAACAGAAAAGACCACUAACUUAACAUGAUUUCUUUGCAAAUAAUGAUAACAAUUUAAGGUUGCAUUUUUUUUUCAAAGGAACAGCACAUCUGUCACUAGUAAGAGAUUGCAAACAGACAUUACCGUAAGUAUGCCUCAAAGAAUACCUCAAAGGUGCAUGCUAGACUCGAAAGUUGAUUUAUAAUGAUAGCAGAUAGCACUUCAUCACGCUGCAACUCCAGUAAAUGUACAUGUGUAUUGAGCUUAAUAUUUGAGUGAAUGACAAUCACACCAUAAGAUGUCCACAGAGUUCAGUAUUUGGAAAAUUGGAGGCCCGCUAUAGCCGCUAUAGCAAAUACUAUGUCAUAUAGCAUGAUUGAUGUUUUUUAUUGCAUUUAACAUGUUAUUUUUCUGCAUGUCUCAAGGCACAAAUCUAUGGUGAUUUCAUGUCAAAUAUUGGCCUAGUGUCUUAGAAAGAAAGUUGAAGGUCGAGAAACUAAAGCUAGAAAUUAGCUUCAACAUACCUCGGUUCUGGAUGGAAAGAGAAAGCUUCAUACAGAGAGAGUUCCUGAAGCAAAUAUACACAUUUCUGAAAGCUGGAUUCAGAAAAUGUGUUAUGGGAGUGGCUUGCAAGCAAAAAACCAUGCGCCUUUUCCGAUCAUCUAGGCAAACAUAAGAUACUUCUGAAAGCUUUGAUAAAAUUUUCUAUAUUCACCCAAACAGUAUACAUCAUUUCUUCACAUCCUCCAAUAUGUCACUUAUGCUGUCAAUCAUUGGCACAGAACCUUUCUCAAUGAGCAUCCUGGUAUCUAAAUAAGUACAUUCAUCUCGGUACAACUUGCCAACAGCUUUCUUCAUUAGUUCAAAUUGCUUAGGACUAGUGGAAUGAAAGUUGUUACUGAGAAUCUCUUUCAAAAGCUCAAAUGCUUUUGUUGUAUUACCUUUCAAAAUCAAGGAAUUUAUUAGCAAUAAAUGUACAUUUUUAUCAAGCUCAAUCCCUCUCUCCACCAUCUCAUUAUAAUAAUUAAGUGCUACAUCCGGCCUAGCACAUUUGCACAGACCAUGAAUGAGAGCCGUAUAAGUUAUAUUGUUUGGAAAACAACCCUUGUGCCUCAUUGCAUCCCAUAUAACAAGAGCAUCUUCAGCUCUUCCGGCGCUACACAAUCCAUCUAUUAAGCUUGUGUAAGUGACGACCGUAGGCGCCCUUUCUUCAUCAAUCAUUUUAUGAAAGAAAGCAAGUGCCCCUUCAAUCUUGUCAGCCCUGCACCAAUUAUCGAUCAUAAGAUUAUAGGUGACAACAGAAGGAAUGAGCCCCUUCACAAGCAUGUUUUGUAGAAUAUCUUGUGCUUCAGUCAAUCUACCAGCUUUACACAACCCAUUAAUUAUAAUAUUGUGAGCAACUACAUCGGGAAGAUAAAAAUUUGAAGAGAUGUCACGAAAGAGUGCGAGAGCCUUAUCGACUUCCCCAUUCUUGCACAUACCAUCAAUAGCUGCAGAAUAAGCAACAAGGUCAGGAAUAAAACCCACUUUGAGCAAGUCACUUAGAAACUCUGAAGCUUUGGCUACUUCUCCAUUCAUACAGAGUUCCUUUACCAUAGUGGUGCAAUGCUUUAUCCAUGGUACACGCCCUUCACUUCUCAUCUCCCUUAGGAGGUCAAGAGCAGCUAUUGAAUCCUUCCUUCUGCAAAGCCCGUAAAAUAAAGAAUUAUAUGUAAACUCAGUAGGUACAAUUCCCAAUUCCUUCAUCUUGCCAAAAAUCUCAUAGGCUUCAUCCAAUCUAUUUACAGUACAGAGCUCGAGGAUCAAAUUAUUAAACAUCAAAAGCUUUCCUUUGCGUCCUAAUCCAACCAUAUCAUUCACAAGAGUUAAUGCCAUAUCCAGCUUUUUAACUUCGCAUAAACCACAAAUAACAAUAUUAAAAGAAUCAGAAUUUGGGAUAACAGCUCUCUUGACAUUAAAUAAGUUCUCCAAUGUAGCUUCAUUCUCGCCUAUCUUUGGCUCCUCCAUGGUUGAUGAAGGGACUUCCGUGCCUACAGAUUCUAUCAUAACCCUUAAUAAGCUAUGAGCUCUAUCUACAUCACCUUGAUUAACAAGUCCAUCAAGAAUUGCAUUAAAAAGGGCGACACAACUACUAGAACUCAGAAUCUCCUUGUUUUCCUCAAACAACCGGCCUAUGCCGACCAAGUCAUUUUCCCCACAAAAAGCUGAGAUCAUCUUCUUGAGCAAUCGAACAUCUGGAGAAAUACCCUGCCUCUUCAUAUCCAUGUACAAAUCCAAAGCCCUUCUUAGAUCCUUCCCCUCACACAACCCUUCAAUCAAAACACUAUAAAUCCGCAAAUCCCCAAUAAAACCCGAGUCUUUCAUUUUAUCGAACAUCUCUACUGCUUUAUCCAACCUCCCCUGCCUCACAAAACCGUGAAUUAAAACACUAAAUGUUCUUUCACUGGGCUUCACUCCUCUCUCGGUCAUUCUAUCAAACAGUUCGAAGACACUCUCCACCUUUCCCCAUUUACAGAACGUGACAAUUAGGACUGUUAGUACAUGCUCAUCCACCCAUCCUCUCUCAUUCAUGUUAUUAAAAGUUUUCAACACAGCAUCGAAUUUCCCAGCAUUGCAAUAGCAUUGCAAGACCGAAGUAAGCGUAUACUUAUCCGGCUCUCUCCCUAACCCUUGCAUCAUCUCCCGAAGCCUCGCUUCCGACGACUCAACUCGCCCGGCCUUACCCAACACCUCGAGCAAACAAUUGUACGUAUACGAAUUCGGCACGCAGUUCAAAUCCCCAGCGUGAUCGAACACAUGUUCAGCCUCUUCGACUAAGCUGAGAGUGCCGAGGCACCGGAUUAGGAACCCCAUCGCGCCGGGGGUCAUGGGGCAGCGGCGAGCGACGACCUCGGCGGCUAGGGUUUUGAGGCGCCCGGGCUGGCGCGCGCGGGAGAGGGCGUGGGCCAUGGCGUUGUAGGUGUAGCAGGUGUGGUGGAACCCGGGCUGCCACGCGGCCCAGCGGAAGAACUCGUCAGCGGCGCGCCACCCCGCCAAGCUCCCGAGGACGAGCUCGGCUGUCUGGCCGGAGAGGAGGCGCCCGGCGCGGCCGAGCUCGGCGGCGUCGCGGAGGUGGCGCGGUUGGGAGAAUAGGUCGAACAGGUGGCGUGCGUGGGGGUUGGAGGAGAGGGAGGGCUCGAAAGGGGAAGAGGAGGAGGAGGAGGAGGAGAUGGAGCGGAGGUUGAAGAUGAAGUGGUAGGGUUUCGGAGGGGGGAAUAAGUGGGUUAUUCUGAGUGCUCGGAGAGACAUGUUGAGGAUAAAAAUGGGAAUAGGUGUGGAAUAGGUAUUCCCGGAUUGGAAUAAGGAUGAGUGGGUUGGUUAAUCAGGGAUAAGCGAUAAAAUGGGAGCGUAAGAGAGUUUCGCCAUUGAUGGAGCUCGAAGGCGAAAGGGAGGUUUGGUUUUUGGAAGGGGAGAUCACAGAGGACGAAUAUACGUACAUGAAUGACAGUGGAAGACCACGAAGAAUACGAAGGAGACGCAUUAUGCACAUUCCUGUUCAACAUAUACAUCAAUACAUGACCAUUUUAUUGCUGACAAAAUUAAUGAAAAAUUUUCCAAAAAGAAACCCUUCCAAAUACAUAUUUGAUUGGUUGGAUCUAGAUCAUGUUGAAUUAUGAAAUGAAUAUAAGAUAUACACUUUAGAAAUUGGGCAGGAAUACUAAUAAUAGUAUUGAAUUUUUUUUGCUAUCGAAUUUUUAAUUUCAGAUGAAAAAUUAUAAGAUUAGAAUGGCAGUGGUCCCAUUGAAAAAUUAUAAGAUUAAAAUGAUAAUAGUCUCAUAGGGUUUAGUGAUGAUCCGAUUGAUUGAAUAAUAUGAUUUAAAAGAUAAAGUUAAUUAAAGUGUAGAUCUAGCAGCGAGCAAAAAAGUCAAAAUAUCAUUAACAGAAAAAUAUGUAUAAAUAUUUGUUUGUUCGAUAAAACGGGCUCUAGGCCCAACCAAUUGUUUCCAACAGACAUGUGGGUUUAGCCCAAGUUACAACGGACUCGAAAGGGCUUAAUUCUUUGGUCUAGUGGGCCAAGGGCCCAUUAAGGCCCGAUCCGUUUUCUUGUUCGAGGGGUCACUUCUCCUUCUCCUCCUCUACUCCCACCCAGGGUUUAGUUCUUUUUCCAUUACUCGCUCUCUCCACCUCCACCUCUGUCUCUCUCUCGCUCGCGCGCUCUCGUAGAGAUAUCAACUUCGCCAUGGGCGAUAGCCAAUACUCCUUCUCCCUCACCACCUUCAGGUUUUCCCCCAAGCCCUUCUCCCCAAACCUUCUCCUAUUUUUCUACUUGGAUCUGUUCGUGUUCCCUUUGAUCUCACCCUUUUUUUUUCUUCUUUUUUUUUUGCAUUUAUUUUCUUUGUUUGUUUUUGAUCCGCGGAGAUUAGCCCCUCGGGGAAGCUGGUUCAGAUCGAGCACGCGCUAAUGGCCGUUGGAGCAGGUCAAACGUCUCUCGGGAUCAAAGGUAUCUCCGAUCGAUGUAGAUUCGUCGUGUUAUGCGAAGAAUGAAUUGAUUUAUUUGAUUAAUUGCUGUUUUUUGGGAGAAUUUGGUGUUUGGGAUGAUUCUAGGGCUUAUUUUUGUAGCAUGAAAUUAUUGAGUAUAACACUCACCAGAUGAGUUGUUGCAUUAUUGGAAGAGGGGGAAAAAAAAGAGAGCAAGUUAUACAAUUAAAUCAGCUAUAUUGCUUCUUACUUCAUGUACAUCCAAAAACGGGACUAUAUUUACUUACUGGGAACUCUGACAUAUACUAAGUUAUCAGUAGCCUUCUAGAUGGUGUAGGAGUGGAAAACGAGAUCUCAUGAACUCAACGAUUGAGAGUUUGCAUCAAGAUAUUUCAAAAGAACGGACUUUAAUAUGCUGUGGAUGUGAGUGGUGAUGGGACAUGUAAAAAAGUUUGAAAUGGCAUAUAAGGUGACUGGAAUUGUGUGAUCUUCUUGGUCAAAUUACUUUCAUUAAAUUUUAUGGCUUUGCUUGUUAGUUAAGAUCAGAGUUGCUGGCGGAAAAUUUAGCUUGGUCGUUCUUCGAAACCGUAGUCUUUCCAGUUUGAAUUAAUCUUAUAUAUAUAGAGUGUUAGGGCAAGUAGCAUGGAGAUUAUUAAUUAUCGCCCUUUUCUGCUCAUAUUUAAUAGUAAUGACUAAAAUGGGUGGUCAGAUACCUCUAUAUAUGUUUAUCUAUCUGAUAAUUAGAUAAUUAGCCUUAUAUAUAUAUGAUGGGAAUGACAUGUAGUUGCAAUGGUUGUUUGAAAAGAAUAGCCAUUUGAGUCAUGAGUUUUCAGUUGGAGUGCAUGGCCAUUUGCGUAUUGAAUAAGUAACAGAUUCAAAGUGCAACUUUUGCUGGACUUUUUUAUCACAACUUCCGGUACUCUUUUUGUUGUUGCAGCUGCUAAUGGUGUCGUUAUCGCAACCGAGAAGAAACUUCCUUCGAUUUUGGUGGAUGAGACAUCUGUAAGCAUGCUCUAAAACUCUCUCUGGUUCGCUUCAGUCGGUUGCUUCGUUUUCCGUAGCAUGAAUUUAGAGUUCUGUGUGGAAUUGCAUUGGAGAAAUAAUUUCCACUAAUUAGUGUUAUUGUUAUUUUUCAUUAAUGAUUCUAUUUGCUUUUAAUUCAUACGAACCACAUUGCGGAGGUGAAACUGUUCAGUAACUUACAUGCACUUCAUUUUUAUAUUAUUGUCUAAUUGCUUUCAUAGCACAUACUGUAUGUUUCAAUCACCAUCAUACGUUGCUAUUGUAUAUUUAGUGCCAACCUAUUUGUUGGAAUCAAGUGACUAGUCCUUGCACUUUAUUUUGUUUGUAUUUUGUAUACAUAUUUUGUAUGUGAAUAAUUCCUAUUUUGUUGACCUCAGGUGCAAAAGAUUCAACUUAUGACUACAAAUAUUGGAGUUGUAUACAGGUAAUUUGCUUUAUGUCUUCAUCGUUUAUUAUAGAUGACUGAUAUUUUUUCUCAAUGCCAUGCAUGUUACUCAUCUUUAACCAUGUAGAUGACCUUUUUGUUUUUCUUUCUUUUUCUUUUCAUACAGUGGGAUGGGGCCAGAUUCACGUGUCCUGGUAAGGAAAAGCAGAAAGCAAGCGCAGCAGUAUUAUCGACUAUACAAGGUAUUCUAUUAAUAUCUCACUCUUGUAAUCACUUGCCCAUCAUCCUUUGUGUCAUUGAAUGUGUGCUUAUUAUAUAUGUUAGACAACACGAGGAAUUCUUGAUGAUUUAUUUUCCCGUAAGCUGUGUCUUUGGAGUUAUUUAAGAUAUGCUGUUAUUUUCUCCUUAAAUAUUUGAUUAUCCAGAUGGAAUUUGAUGUGCUUGUUCUGUAAGGAAUGUCUUUCUUUAGAUAUGAAAAUAAAAACAGACUGCCUGCUAGCAGAAUCCCAUGACAAUCUUGACUUGCUAGUCUAAUCUAUAUUCUUGAUUAGAACUAGUAAUUUUUUUUUGGGCCUUAUCUUCUAAUUUAUGAUUUGGUUGUAUACUUCACAUUUACUUGUGUUAACUCUUUUCUGCAAUUUCUUUGUUAUUAAUAUUUUGUGAGUGAGCUACUAUACUUCUGCGGUUGAGGUCAGUGAUUGGAUAGAUCAGGUUCAGUGGCAUAUGCCUGAAUGCUGUUCUUAGGAUAGUAUGGUUGAGCCUCAUUUUAGAGAACAUUUGUUUAUAUAAACUAUGAGUUUUGUUUUCAUAGUUGGCGUUAGAUUUCCUCAUCUAGAGAUAUUAUUUCAACUCCUUGAGUAGCUUCAGAGCCAUGUCCAUCGCUACUGUACAUAUUAGUAACGGCAUUCUUCUUCAGUUGAAAAUUGUUAGUAGUACUGAUAGUAUUAUACUUUUUUGAGUGCAGGAGCCUAUUCCUGUUACUCAACUCGUCAGAGAGACUGCAGCUGUCAUGCAGGAGUUCACGCAGUCUGGGUAUUUUCUUGCUAUGUCUAAAUGUUUAACAUUCUUUAAUUUUCUCCCUUUUCCAGCGACCGUUCCUCUCUUCUUCUUCUUCUUCUUUCUCCCCAAACUUGCCAUAUAUCUGGCCUUUCCCUCUUCUUAGUUUGGAAUGUCAAAAACAUUGGCAUGCCUCUAAAUGUUUGAUUGCAAACUGAAAUAUUAUCCAUACCCAUGGUUAAACUAGUUUUAAAAGUUAUUUCUUGACAUGGGGUAUAUGGUUAAAUACAAUUAUACCAGUGCUAUUAUAAAGAUGUGGACUUACAUAUUGCUACUUGCAGUGGUGUAAGGCCAUUUGGAGUUUCUUUACUCGUUGCUGGAUAUGAUGACAAUGGGCCACAGCUGUAUCAGGUAUGCCCCCUAUCUGGUUUUCUUAAUCUUGACUAUUAUUAAGUAGAUGGCUAUUGUAGUUGUUAGUUUAUUUAUGUCAUUUUCUCUAUGACUAUUACGUAAAGUGCAUUUUUACUUUCGGAAGCCACAAUUAUUAAUAUUUGCCAGACCUUUUCUAGUUCUCUUGCUUUACUAGUAUACAUUGUCUUAUGCCAGUUGACAAUUUUCUAAACCUGUAUGGCGCUACAUUCUAAUUACUUUCUCUACUACUAUAUGUUGGUCCCUUUCCUUGUGAGCUAUUGUCUACUUGUUCUUAAGCUUUUAGGAUCUCACACGUGCCUUUCGCUUGUUUUAAAAUCCUUUAUAACAGGUCGACCCAUCAGGAUCUUACUUUUCCUGGAAAGCUUCAGCAAUGGGGAAAAAUGUCUCUAACGCGAAGACUUUUCUCGAGAAAAGGUAACUUAAAGCGUCCGAAACACAAUUUCAAUGCUAUUUCUGCAUGCUUGAAGUUGUUAUCGUGAGUUAUCACAGCCAUUACAUCCAUUGAUUAAAGAAUUUUUAUCAUAACAAAAAAUUUUCAUUCUUAUUUAGAUACACUGAGGAUAUGGAGCUUGAGGAUGCUGUGCACACUGCUAUUCUAACUCUUAAAGAAGGGUAUUAUUGUGUUUUUGCUAUUAAGUUGUAUAAGUUACUCUCUUCUCAUAUCCUUCUUGUUUAUUAUAUUACGAAUCAUUUUGUCCACUACCCGUAGAUUUGAAGGACAAAUUUCUGGGAAGAACAUUGAGAUCGGAGUAAUUAGCUCUGAUCGCAAAUUCAGGUAAUUCCCCUCCAUUUCAGUUUUGGGUUCUGUGGAAACUUAUAGCACACGUUGUCUAUACUUUAUUUGCUACCAUUUGGAUUUCUUCUUUUUCGGUUGUUAUGUUGAUGUAUAUGCAGUUCUCUUGGAAUUGGAUGGUGCAUUUAUUUAUAUUAUUUUCUUUGUAGUGCACAUUAAGUUGUAUUUGAAAUCUCUGACCUCUUUUUUUCCUUUUUCUUUUUAUUGCAUGCAUGAAAUUGCAGAGUUCUGAGCGCUGCUGAAAUUGACGAUUAUUUAGCAGAAGUUGAGUAAUUCAAAUGCACACGCAGCUUUGAGCAGGAGAAUUAGAGAAAUGAAUCCAGCAUUAUAUCCCUGCUUGUUGCUUGAAGAUUCUCUUGAUGUUAAUCAUAUGUAUUUGGAAUUUGGAAUUUAAGAGUGACAUCAUGAAUUUAUCCAUUCUCUUACAGAGACCUGCUUUACUGAGAAAUUCUCCACCUCAUGUUAACUUAAACCUUUUAAAUUUACAUUUGCAAGUUGAUUCUGACCAUGCGAAUAGCAGGGCUUGGAAUUAUUAACCUUUUCUGUCAUGAUAUUCUUCGGCCCUUUUUUGAACUUUUACAGGCCGUAUUGCAUUGAAUGCACAGUUGAUUAGUCAGUUUUUUUAAAUUGAUUUGUUAGAUUUUUCUUUUUAAUGAUAUCAGGGACAUAAAUUUGCAUUCUUCUUUUUAGCAACAUAAAUUUGCAUGUGGCUUUAUCUUGCGCAAUGGGCAUGUAGUUUCGCGGAGGUAUAUAGAUAAUUGUACCUAUAUUUUACCAUGAAGGCAACUUCUUGUAUUGUUUUUUAUUUUUUUGUAUUUUUUAUUUUGUUGCAUUAGAAUUCAAAGCAGCACGAGAACGCGGGGAAAACCCGAGGCAGUGCUCUCUCCGAGGAACCUGUACUGUUGCACAUCCCAAAUCAGACAAUCCAACGUACUUAUAUCAUCAAUUCCUUUUCCACUUCCCCAACGUUUUAUAUUUUUUUAAUCAUUUGCUUGCGCCUCCAAAAAAAGCGUUUAAAUUUUUUUCCCCAGGACCCAAGGUCAGUUGCUCCACCCUGUCCCACACUUUCUCCCCCUUGUAAAGCUCUUCCCCUUAUUAAUUAGUCGUUCAUAGUGAAAACGAAGGAAACAUGGCGUUGCGUUCGUCCUCGUCACCGUCGUGGGCAGUGGAAAUGGCACUGCAAGAGCUCCAGAAACUGGAGUCCGAGCACCCCGACCGCUUCGACUACCUCAAAAGGGAGCUCAAAUCGCUCAUUGCUGAGCCCCUCUUCACUUCCCGCGACCCCACCAUCCCUACUCUUCUACCCGCUUCCUCCGCUGCCACCCAAGGUGAAUAUCGCACAGUGGUGGUAAAACUCUCUGACACUUUUUUUUUUUUAUGUUUUUAAGCAUAAUAUUUAUUUCACAUUGUUUAAGAUAUUUUCUCCCUUUUUUCUUUUGCGAACGUAACAACAAUCGCGCGUAUUCACAUUGUUUAUAUGAAUAAAAGUUAUUUCCUUGAAUCAUCAUCAUCAUCAGUAUUCAGAUUGGUGACAAUCUCUGUACCAAUUAUCAUUCAUAAGGUAUAUCGUUAACCGAUCAUAGUAUGUCAUGCAAAUUUUGUCUUUUUUUGUAUAUUUAUUACAAUGCGAAGAUAUUUGAGUGAAUCUUAUUACUUUUAUGUUUGUUGGAAAUAUUAGGCAGCGAAAACUUACACCCGCCAAUAUGGACACACCAUAUGGCUACAAUGUUGAAUAGCUACGACAAAGAUAAAUAAAAUAAAAAAAUAUAAAAAAACUCUGAUUUUACGUGAAACAAUUAUUUUUUUUU
rnacentral:lncRNA from 1 species